rnacentral:rRNA from 1 species
GACGAACGCUGGCGGCGUGCCUAAUACAUGCAAGUCGAACGCAGUGGGGACGGGUGAGUAACACGUGGGUAACCUCCCAUCAGAGGGGAUAACCCUUGGAAACAGGUGCUAACCCGCUCCUGAUGGAUGAACCCGCGGUGGAGUAGCUAGUUGUGGAGGUAACGGCUCACCAAGGCAACGAUGCAUACCGGACCUGAGAGGGUGAUCGGCCAAACUGGGACUGUGACACGGCCCAGACUCCUACGGGAGGCAGAAGUAGGGAAUCUUCGGCAAUGGACGAAAGUCUGACCGAGCAACGCCGCGUGAGUGAAGAAGGUUUUCGGAUCGUAAAACUCUGUUGUUAGAGAAGCGGUAUCUAACCAGAAAGCCACGGCUAACUACGUGCCAGCAGCCGCGGUAAUUC